CGCGGUAAUACGUAGGGUGCAAGCGUUGUCCGGAAUUAUUGGGCGUAAAGAGCUCGUAGGCGGUUUGUCGCGUCUGCUGUGAAAUCCCGAGGCUCAACCUCGGGUCUGCAGUGGGUACGGGCAGACUAGAGUGUGGUAGGGGAGAUUGGAAUUCCUGGUGUAGCGGUGGAAUGCGCAGAUAUCAGGAGGAACACCGAUGGCGAAGGCAGAUCUCUGGGCCAUUACUGACGCUGAGGAGCGAAAGCAUGGGGAGCGAACAGGAUUAGAUACCCUGGUAGUCCAUGCCGUAAACGUUGGGCGCUAGAUGUGGGGACCAUUCCACGGUUUCCGUGUCGUAGCUAACGCAUUAAGCGCCCCGCCUGGGGAGUACGGCCGCAAGGCUAAAACUCAAAGGAAUUGACGGGGGCCCGCACAAGCGGCGGAGCAUGCGGAUUAAUUCGAUGCAACGCGAAGAACCUUACCAAGGCUUGACAUAUACCGGAAACGUUCAGAAAUGUUCGCCCCGCAAGGUCGGUAUACAGGUGGUGCAUGGUUGUCGUCAGCUCGUGUCGUGAGAUGUUGGGUUAAGUCCCGCAACGAGCGCAACCCUCGUCGUAUGUUGCCAGCACGUAAUGGUGGGAACUCAUAUGAGACUGCCGGGGUCAACUCGGAGGAAGGUGGGGAUGACGUCAAAUCAUCAUGCCCCUUAUGUCUUGGGCUUCACGCAUGCUACAAUGGCUGGUACAAUGGGCUGCAAUACCGCGAGGUGGAGCGAAUCCCAAAAAGCCAGUCUCAGUUCGGAUUGGGGUCUGCAACUCGACCCCAUGAAGUCGGAGUCGCUAGUAAUCGCAGAUCAGCAACGCUGCGGUGAAUACGUUCCCGGGCCUUGUACACACCGCCCGUCAAGUCAUGAAAGUCGGUAACACCCGAA
rnacentral:rRNA from 1 species